rnacentral:rRNA from 1 species
GACGAACGCUGGCGGCGUGCUUAACACAUGCAAGUCGAACGAAGUGGCGAACGGGUGAGUAAUACGUGGGUAACCUGCCCUCCUUUUUGGGAUAAGCCUUGGAAACGGGGUCUAAUACCGAAUAAGGGGGGAUGGGCUCGCGGCCUAUCAGCUUGUUGGUGGGGUCAUGGCCUACCAAGGCGGUGACGGGUAGCCGGGCUGAGUGGGUGACCUGCCACAUUGGGACUGAAGUACGGCCAAGACUCCUACGGGGGGCAGCAGUGGGGGAUAUUGCACAAUGGGCGAAAGCCUGAUGCAGCGACGCCGCGUGGGGGAUGAAGGCUUGCGGGUUGUAAACCUCUUUCGCUAUCGAAAGGGUAUGUGGAGAAGAAGCGCCGGCUAACUACGUGCCAGCAGCCGCGGUAAUUC